ACGUAGGUGGCAAGCGUUGUCCGGAAUAACUGGGCGUAAAGCGCAUGUAGACGGCAUAGCAAGCCAAGUGUGAAAUUUAGGGGCUUAACCUCUAAACUGCGCUUGGAACUGCUGAGCUUGAGUGCAGGAGAGGCAAGUGGAAUUCCCAGUGGAGCAUUGACAUGAGUAGAUAUUGGGAGGAACACCAGUGGCGAAGGCGACUAACGGGACUACAGCUGACGUUGAGAUGGGAAAGCUAGGGGAGCACACAG
rnacentral:rRNA from 1 species